UCUCCGUUGGUGAACCAGCGGAGGGAUCAUUACGGGACUCGCAAAACUCCUACAACCCUGUGAACUUAACUAUAAGCACGUUGCUCCGGCGGGUUUCUCGGAGGGGGUUCUCCCUCCCCGAGACGCUAAACCCCCCGGCACCCUACUACACCCUCUCCCCUUGCCUCGGCAUCUCGCGUACAAUCAAACACGAAAAAACUAUCAACAACGGACCUCGUGGUUCUGGCAUCGAUGAACAACGCAGCAGGGCGGAACACCACACGUCUACACUCCAGCCAC
rnacentral:misc_RNA from 1 species